UGUGUGCCUUCGUUUCCCCUCUCGGCUGCCUGAGUGACUUGUGUGCUUGAUCGGCUCAUCUGAGAUAGUAAGUGCCAUUUAUACUGUAACGAUUCUGUGUUUUAGUUCUGCUGGGGUUCAUGUGGUUAUUUGUAUUUGCUAUAAGUUGCAAUGUGAUCCUUUUUGUUAUAUGUAGUGUUAUGGGCUUCCCCUGUCUGACUCUACUGGCUCCCGCUCACAUGUGAUAGGCCUGUCAUGUGGGCGGAGGAUCGGUGGAGCGGGAGUACCAGGACCGGAAGUGGGGUGAGUUCAGAGGGGAGUUAGCAGUGAAGCUAACAGUUGUUUGAGUGUGCCCGUUUGUUAGAGGCGUGAGCUGCAGCCUCAGAAAUAGCAGCUUGUACUUAUUUCUAAUAAACCCUGUUGGCGGGACUACA